AGUAUAUGCAUACUUUUUAGCUAUAUGUCAUUGAGAAUCUGUACGUAUUAAGCUGAAAUUGUUUUACUUUUAAAUUUGAAACCGGUAACGAACUAAAUUUAUAUAACGAGAAAAAAACUGUUCAUGUUCAGAAAUUCAGCUAAGAUGACAACAAAAAUUACAGUUGAUAAUCUAAAAGAGGUUGACGUAACAAAUUCCUGUCGCAUAUGCAAAUGCCGUGGAAAUGACGAUUUACAAAAUCGAGUUAAACUGCGUCCAUUAUUCAAUGGCCGCCGUUUAACUCGUAUUAUAGCCAACACAAUACACAUAGAGAUUAAGGAUUUGCCAGGACUGCCCCGUUUUGUUUGCGAGCAUUGUUUAAAAUUGUUGAAAACUUUUUCAGUUUUUCAAGUGGAUUUUCGGCGUUCCGAAGAAGAUUUUAAAAUGGCUCUCGAAGCUCGCAAACAUUCUCACAUGGAUGCCUUGAUUGAAUUUUCUAAUUCUAUUGAAAUGGAAAAGCAAUUAGAUAAUGACCAGAAAAAUGCUGCUCUUGUAACCAAUUUCCUAAAGAAAAGCCACAAGAAGACCAACAAACCAAAAUCAACACUCGAUAAUGAUUAGUGUAUUUUACAAUGAAUUUAAAUAGUUCAAUACAUUUUAAGUUUAUAUGUGCAA